CAUCUGGAUAUACAAAGAUAAGUUUAAUGACUGAACGACACAUGCACGUGCAUGCAUGCACUUAUUGGUACUAUAUAUACGAACCUGAACAUGUAGUAUCUGAGUCACUAUCCAUAGUUACUGCGUCUAAACAGACAUCAACAUGAGGUGGAUUGACAGAAAAGGACGGUAGAGAAGGAGGCUCUGGGACAUGAGUGUGCAUUCAAUUAUGAUCAUAAUCAGUAUAAAUUAUGUAUAUAGGCCUAGCCUGAAACAAAAUAUAUGAUGAAUCAUUGGGAUGGUUAAUGUUAUAUAACGGUAAAAGAACACAUGCAUGCUUAUACACAUGCAUGCUUAUACUCCAAUGGUAUAUAUGAAACUCAGUAAAGUAUGACUCAUGUUAUGACAACUUUAUGAAGGUCACAAAUUAGUGUUCAAUUUUACAAUUUUUAUGCACAAAUGCAUGGGCUUAUAACUAUAGUGAAGUGUUUCGUAAAUUAUUGACAAAAAAACAAAUGAUAAUUUAUACAAUAAAUUAUUGUGAUAAUAAAAUGGAGCGGUGGAUCAAGUUCCAUAGACUAAAGUUACCUUCUGCCAUAAUGGUAGUAGAAAUCUCUGCAAUACGUAUCCAACUACCGUCCUUCUUACAAUACAACCGUUUGUGCUUCUUAAAAGUUUUAGAAACCAAACUCAGAUCACAGUGGGGACAUAUCUGCCUGUUGGCAAGAGAUGGGUUGGACAACUUUAUCUUCUUGCUUUCUGAUCUAAGCGCGCAGUAAGAAAGCUGGAACUGGAUGCCAUGUUUACAUAAUACCACAUACGUACUUCUAAGCAAAGAGCACCUAAGAUUAAGAAAGUUGGUGAUAGUAUCCAGGUUGCUUCAAGCUUGGCUGGCUCUCUUGAGGUCAUUAGCAAUGAGCAAGAAAUCUUUACGAUCGAGUACCCGCCCGCUCGAAUCAAGGCAGAGUUGAGGGCGGCACUUCCGAUAUCUACACAUGCGCAGUAUUAUUAGGAGCAUAUGGUCAGCCAGCUGCACAGCACAGUACACAGUUCUCUAGCUCGAUUGGCUCGCAACUUAAACUUAGAAGCUUUUGACUUAAGUGAUCAUGAAUUAAGUGAUAGCUGCAGCAAUGGAUCAUUGGAUAGGCGGCAGUCCUCAAAAGAGACGGCGUCCGGCGUUCGCUUCCAGUUCUAGUGAAGACGAGGACAGCGAUGGCCUAGAACAAUCGUCAACACCACCCAAAAGGUCAACACCACCCAAAAGAACAAAGAAGAAAAAGAAGUCCCUCCAGGCUGCUAGUUCUACCAGCUCCAAUGUCAUGAUUUUAAAGGAACUACAGAAAACUAACUCAGCAAUUGAAAAGCUUGUGUCUACAGUAAAGACUACCCAGAGAAGAGUAAGAAAUGUUGAAGAGCAGAUUUCCAGCUCGUCUUGUAGCACUCCAAAGAGGAAAAAGAAAAAUGUCCCUGAUGAAGUUAGACGUGAAACAAGACGGAUCUACGGUGGGAUACAGAAAACUUCCUUGGGUGGAAAAUCGAGCCUGGGUAAUUAAGUGUCUUAUUUUUCUUGCCAAGUUUAGGGUAAUAUUCAAAGAUGACCAAAACCAAGUGACUUUAAAUCGCUUACUCAAGGAGGUUAAGGCUUUAAACUCGGGAUUCCUCACUGAGCAUAUCAAAGACGCUGCUUAUCGAUUUUAUCGUUCACGUAACGAGGAGGAGUCAUCUCGUAGGCGAGGAAAACUAGGAGCCAAAAACAAAAGCAAAAGAAAACAUGAACGGCUUUGAACGGCUUGCGAGGCUAUUCACGCUAUGUUGGAAAAAGCUUCUUUUCUGACAGCUUCAGAUAAAGAAAAAUGGGUAGUGGUGCUGUGUCCUCAACUCACUUGAAGUGAUGAAAGCGAUAUAGAUGAUGAUGGGACAGAGAUCAUAAAAAGGCAUGCAUUGCCCUGGCUGAGUUUAAAAGAAGAAUUGAUGAUGCCAGCCUCAAAGACAAGAGCCCUCAAGCAAAGACACAAACAAAGCAGAGAGUUGAGGGAGAGCUCUCUAGUCGGAAAACGCCUAGCGAAGAGAAGUUCCCUCCUUGGGCAUUCGUAUGAUCAUGACUAUAAUAAACAAUGUCUACAUUAUGCAUAUAGACAACAUUUAGUCCCUAUAUAUACAUGUAGUUCUCACUGUCUUAUAUAUUUGG